rfam:Triticum aestivum genome assembly, contig: Triticum_aestivum_CS42_TGACv1_scaffold_019174_1AS
CAAUUACUCCCUCCGUUCUAAAUUACUUGUGUUAGAUUGUUUAGAUACGGAGGUAUCUAGCACUAAAAUGAGUCUAGAUACAUUUGUAUCUAGACAAAUCCAAGACAAGUAAUUCGGAACGGAGGGAGUACUAA